rnacentral:rRNA from 1 species
AGAGUUUGAUCCUGGCUCAGAACGAACGCUGGCGGUAUGCUUAACACAUGCAAGUCGAACGAACAAAAUUGGGGCUUGCUCCAAUUUUAGUGAGUGGCAAACGGGUGAGUAACGCGUGGGAAUCUACCCAUCAGUACGGAAUAACACUUGGAAACAGGUGCUAAUACCGUAUAUUCUCUACGGAGGAAAGAUUUAUCGCU